rnacentral:rRNA from 1 species
AGCGAACGUUUGCGGCGGGCCUAACACAUGCAAGUCGAACGCACUAGCAAUAGGUGAGUGGCGCACGGGUGCGUAACACGUGGGUAAUCAACCCUUCAGCUUGGGAUAACGACGUUGAAAGGGUCCGCUAAAUACCGGAUACGGCGCGGGAGGCUUCGGCUUCUCACGAGGAAAGCCUCGCAAGGGGCACUGAAGGACGAGCCUGCGGCCCAUCAGCUAGUUGGUGAGGUAAGAGCUCACCAAGGCGAAGACGGGUAGCUGGUCUGAGAGGAUGAUCAGCCGACACUGGAACUGAGACACGGUCCAGGACUCCUACGGGAGGCGAGGCAGUGGGGAAUAGUUGCGCAAUGGGCGAAAGCCUGACGCAGCCACGCCGCGUGAGCGAUGAAGG